GGGCCUAUGGUUCAGUGGCAGAACACGGCAUUCGCAUUGCUGGGACGGCGGUUCGAUUCCGCCUAGGUCCACAA
rnacentral:tRNA from 1 species